UAAGGCCCCAUGAACAAAUGUCAAACCUGUCUGCAUCAGACUAGAGACAAAAACUACACAGCACAGGGCUGUCUUCGACUUCUGGAUAAUGGACGAGCAAAAAGUAGAAAUGUGACUGGAUUUUAAUCUUGUUUUUAGGUUUUUCAGCUUACUAAGACGUCGACGAUUUUCGGUUGAGCUUCGACCGAGGGCAGAGGAUGACACCCACGCCAGCUCAACCUUAAAUUCAGAAAGUCACAGCCUAGAGGUUUUUUUUUCUUACCACCCUCAGAAGAAGACAAAAUACCUGGCAGUAGAGGGACUGCAGUGUGAUGACACUUUCAUUUCUUUGUUUUUCAGCUUACUAAGACGUCGACGAUUUUCGCUUGAAAAAAUGACGACACGUGGGAUGUUGUCUAAAACAUUGGAACAUUUGAGUUCUGGGGAGCUUGAAGAUUUCUGCCUACAUGUUGAAUUGGAGAAAGGUGUUCCCCUCCUCUCAGAACUCGAUCUAAAAUCAAUAUGCCCAGAGAAAAUAGAGGAGCUGAUGGUGAAGAGAUACAGCGAGGAGGAGUGUGUGAAGUUGACCAGAAAUAUCUUAAAGAAGAUGAACAGGACUGAUCUCGUGAAGAGAUUGCUCGACGACAGACGGGAGCCCGAAGAAGAACACUCUAUGGAUGAAGAGCCGCUUUCACUGACCCAGAGGGUGAGUAUGUCACAUCACUCUGACUUCACACAGCGUC